rnacentral:tRNA from 1 species
UGCGGGGAGGCGGGACGGCAUCACGCACCGGGCCCAUACCCCGGGAAUCGCAGGUUCAAAUCCUGUCCCCGCUACCA